UUGACCUCGGAUCAGGUAGGGAUACCCGCUGAACUUAAGCAUAUCAAUAAGCGGAGGAAAAGAAACCAACAGGGAUUGCCUCAGUAACGGCGAGUGAAGCGGCAACAGCUCAAAUUUGAAAUCUGGCCUUUCUGGGGUCCRAGUUGUAAUUUGUARAGGAUGCUUCGGGCAAGGCUGUGGUCUAAUUCGCUUGGAACAGCGGGUCAAAGAGGGUGAGAAUCCCGUCUAGGAUCGUGUGCCGCGUCCAUGUGAAGCUCCUUCGACGAGUCGAGUUGUUUGGGAAUGCAGCUCUAAAUGGGUGGUAAAUUUCAUCUAAAGCUAAAUAUUGGCCAGAGACCGAUAGCGAACAAGUAGAGUGAUCGAAAGAUGAAAAGCACUUUGAAAAGAGAGUUAAACAGUAUGUGAAAUUGUUGAAAGGGAAGCGCUUGCAAUCAGACUUGUGGCUGACGGUUCCCCCGGCCCUCGUGGCCGGGCUACUCCGUCGUGUCCAGGCCAACAUCGGUCUGGGUGGCCGGUUA
rnacentral:rRNA from 1 species